AUAAAUUAAAAAUCCUAUCAUGUGGUUUUCAGGAUUUUUUCCCCCUCAUUUUGUCUGUCAUAGUUGAAGUGUACCUAUGAUGAAAAUUACAGGCCUCAUCUUUUUAAGUGGGAGAACUUGCACAAUUGGUGGCUGACUAUAUACUUUUCUGCCCCACUGUACUUGCGUACUAUUGUUUGUACAUAUGAAUGUGGUACCUUCAGGCGUUUGGAAAUUGCUCCCACGGAUGAAGCAGACUUGUGAUCUACCAAUUUUUUCCGGAGGUCUUGGCUGAUUUCUUUUGAUUUUCCCAUGAUGUCAAGCAAAGUGGCAAGAUUUUGAAGGUAGGCCUUGAAAUACAUCCACAGGUACACCUCCAAUUGACUCAAAUGAUGUCAAUUAGCCUAUCAGAAGCUUCUAUAGCCAUGAAAUUUUCUGGAAAUUUCCAAGCUGUUUAAAGGCACAGUCAACUUAGUGUAUUUAACUUCUGACCCAUUGGAAUUGUGAUAGUGAAUUAUAAGUGAAAUUAUCUGUCUGUAAACAACAAAAAUUACUUGUGUCAUGAACAAAGUAGAUUUCCUAACAGAUUUACCCAAACUAUAGUUUGUUAACCAGAUAUUUGUGGAGUGGUUGAAAAACAAGUUUUAAUGACAACCUAAGUGUAUGUAAACUUCCGACUUCAACUGGAUCUGCCCGGCUUGCCUUGCCGUACCUACCUAUCUGGCUGGCCAGCCUUACUUCUAUAUCUGGCCCGGACAGACCUACAUAUCUGGCCGGUUGGCUGGUCUGGACGGCCGGACCUAGCUAUUUGGCAGACCAGACCUACCUAUCUGGCUGGACCUAGCUAUGUGGUAGGACUGCAGGCCGUCAAUACAUACAGUACCAGUCAAAAGUUCGGACACACCUACUCAUUCAAGGUUUUAAUUUUUUUUAAACUAUUUUCUGCAUUGUAGAAUAAUAGUGAAGACAUCAAAACUAUGAAAUAACACACAUGGAAUCAUGGAGUAACCAAAAAAGUGCAAAACAAAUCAAAAUAUAUUUUACAUUUGAGAUUCUUCAAAUGCAGACCGGACCUACCUAUCUGACUGGCCAGCCGCACCUAUAUAUCU
rnacentral:lncRNA from 13 species